GAUGAAGAACGCAGUGAAAUGCGAUAAGUAAUGUGAAUUGCAGAAUUCAGUGAAUCAUCGAAUCUUUGAACGCACAUUGCGCCCGCCAGUAUUCUGGCGGGCAUGCCUGUUCGAGCGUCAUUUCAACCAUCAAGCCCCCGGGCUUGUGUUGGGGACCUGCGGCUGCCGCAGGCCCUGAAAAGCAGUGGCGGGCUCGCUGUCACACCGAGCGUAGUAGCAUACAUCUCGCUCUGGGCGUGCUGCGGGUUCCGGCCGUUAAACCACCUUGUAACCCAAGGUUGACCUCGGAUCAGGUAGGAAGACCCGCUGAACUUAAGCAUAUCAAUAAGCGGAGGA
rnacentral:misc_RNA from 1 species